GCCAGUAGCACCCAAGACCUUGCCUUUCGGUGAUCCAGUCGCUAAUGAUUGUAGCUCCUGCUUGAUGAGAUAGAUGUAGCGAGGUGGCUGACCAGGUGCUCGACUGGAUCCGGCACCAUCGACGUUGUUCCCCAUUGCGAGCUUGAGGAGGCUCUUCCCCGUUGUCCACCACCACCAAAACACUGCAGCAACUUACCCUCCACCACCCCGCUGUCACCAUCAACGUUCCCAUGCUGGUGGGGCUUGGGUCCGACGAUGGCACCUGCGUCCCCUUCCUCGUCGUCCCUGGCCAGAAGCUU